rnacentral:rRNA from 1 species
GUCAUAUGCUUGUCUCAAAGAUUAAGCCAUGCAUGUCUCAGUACAAGCCAAAUUAAGGUGAAACCGCGAAAGGCUCAUUAAAUCAGUUAUGGUUCCUUAGAUCGUACCCACAAUUACUUGGAUAACUGUGGUAAUUCUAGAGCUAAUACAUGCAAACAGAGCUCCGACCGGAGACGGAAGGAGUGCUUUUAUUAGAUCAAAACCAAUCGGUGGCGAGUUCGCUCGUUAUCGUACAACUUGGUGACUCUGAAUAACUUUACGCUGAUCGCACGGUCAUCGCACCGGCGACGCAUCUUUCAAAUGUCUGCCUUAUCAACUGUCGAUGGUAGGUUCUGCGCCUACCAUGGUUGUAACGGGUAACGGGGAAUCAGGGUUCGAUUCCGGAGAGGGAGCCUGAGAAACGGCUACCACAUCCAAGGAAGGCAGCAGGCGCGCAAAUUACCCACUCCCGGCACGGGGAGGUAGUGACGAAAAAUAACGAUACGGGACUCAUCCGAGGCCCCGUAAUCGGAAUGAGUACACUCUAAACCCUUUAACGAGGAUCAAUUGGAGGGCAAGUCUGGUGCCAGCAGCCGCGGUAAUUCCAGCUCCAAUAGCGUAUAUUAAAGUUGUUGCGGUUAAAAAGCUCGUAGUCGAAUUUGUGUCUCGCGCCGCCGGUUCAUCGUCCGCGGUGUUAACUGGCGAGUCGCGAGACGUCCUGCCGGUGGGCUUAGCUCGCGAGGGCGGCGGCCCAACUCAAUCCUGCCGCGGUGCUCUUCAUUGAGUGUCGAGGUGGGCCGGCACGUUUACUUUGAACAAAUUAGAGUGCUUAAAGCAGGCUAAAACUUCGCCUGAAUACUGUGUGCAUGGAAUAAUGGAAUAGGACCUCGGUUCUAUUUUGUUGGUUUUCGGAACCCCGAGGUAAUGAUUAAUAGGAACGGAUGGGGGCAUUCGUAUUGCGACGUUAGAGGUGAAAUUCUUGGAUCGUCGC